rnacentral:rRNA from 1 species
GAAUUUUGGACAAUGGGCGAAAGCCUGAUCCAGCAAUGCCGCGUGCAGGAUGAAGGCCUUCGGGUUGUAAACUGCUUUUGUACGGACCGAAAAGCUUUGGGUUAAUACCCUGUAGUCAUGACGGUACCGUUAGAAUAAGAACCGGCUAACUACGUGCCAGCAGCCGCGGUAAUACGUAGUGUGCAAACGUUAAUCGGAAUUACUGGGCGUAAAGCGUGCGCAGGCGGUUUUGUAAGACAGAGGUGAAAUCCCCGGGCGCAACCUGGGAACUGCCGUUGUGACGGCAAGGCUAGAGUACGGCAGAGGGGUGUGGAAUUCCGCGUGUAGCAGUGAAAUGCGUAGAUAGGCGGAGUAACACCGAUGGCGAAGGCAACCCCCUGGGCCUGUACUGACGCUCAUGCACGAAAGCGUGGGGAGCAAACA